GGGACACCUGAGUGACACUGAGGGACAUCUGAGGGACACCUGAGGGACACUGAGGGACACCCGAGGGACAGCUGAGUGCCACUGAGGGACACCCGAGGGACACUGAGGGACAUCUGAGGGGCACCUGAGGGACACCUGAGGGGCACUGAGGGACACCUGAGUGCUGCUGAGGGACACCUGAGGGGCACUGAGGGACACUGAGGGACACCUGAGGGACACCGAGGGACACCUGAGUGGCACUGAGGGACACUGAGGGACACCUGAAUGUGACACCUGAGUGUGGGUACAGGCACCUCCACGCGGGUGGGGGGACGUGGCGACAGGAGGUGACACCUGAGCGUGUCACCUGUGUGUCAGGUGUGGCCCUGAGCGGGCUCAGGGACGGGCAGAGGGACAUGGCAGGGACAGGGACGUGGCACCUCCACCCGCGGGCACACACGGGGACCUCAGCGUGGCCCCUGUGUCACCUGUGGGCACCAGGUGUGACACCAGGUGUGCGAGGGGCUGUGGGGUACCCGCGUGUCCCCUGUGCCACCACCUGUGGGCACCUGGGGUGAUGCCGAGCGUGUGAGGGCACACCUGGGCACACCUGGGCACACCUGGGCACACCUGCACAGGGCUUGGGGACACCUGGGCACACCUGGGCACACCUGGGCACACCUGGGCACAUCUCAGCACACCUGAACAGGGCCUGGGGACACCUGGGCACACCUGGGCACACCUGAACAGGGCCUGGGCACACCUGGGCACACCUGGGCACAUCUGCAGGAUUUGGGGUCCAGGUUUGGGGGCUGGCUGGGGUUUGGGGUGCAGGGUUUGGGUUGCAGAUUUGGGGUGCAGGAUUUGGGGUGCAGGAUUUGGGGUGCAGAUUCGAGGUGCAGAUUCGGGGUGCAGGAUUUGGGGUGCAGAUUUGGGGCUCAUGAUGUCCCUUUAG
rnacentral:lncRNA from 1 species